rnacentral:rRNA from 1 species
GAACGGUAAGGCUCCAGCUUGCUGGGGUACACGAGUGGCGAACGGGUGAGUAACACGUGGGUGACCUGCCCUGCACUUCGGGAUAAGCCUGGGAAACUGGGUCUAAUACCGGAUAGGACCGCACCGUGAGGGUGUGGUGGAAAGUUUUUUCGGUGUGGGAUGGGCCCGCGGCCUAUCAGCUUGUUGGUGGGGUAAUGGCCUACCAAGGCGGCGACGGGUAGCCGGCCUGAGAGGGUGGACGGCCACAUUGGGACUGAGACACGGCCCAGACUCCUACGGGAGGCAGCAGUGGGGAAUAUUGCGCAAUGGGCGGAAGCCUGAUGCAGCGACGCCGCGUGGGGGAUGACGGCCUUCGGGUUGUAAACUCCUUUCACCAUCGACGAAGGGUUUCUGACGGUAGAUGGAGAAGAAGCACCGGCUAACUACGUGCCAGCAGCCGCGGUAAUACGUAGGGUGCGAGCGUUGUCCGGAAUUACUGGGCGUAAAGAGCUCGUAGGUGGUUUGUCGCGUCGUCUGUGAAAUUCCGGGGCUUAACUCCGGGCGUGCAGGCGAUACGGGCAUAACUUGAGUACUGUAGGGGAGACUGGAAUUCCUGGUGUAGCGGUGAAAUGCGCAGAUAUCAGGAGGACACCGGUGGCGAAGGCGGGUCUCUGGGCAGUAACUGACGCUGAGGAGCGAAAGCAUGGGGAGC